CAGGCAUGCGCGCUCCCUUCUGGGCCAGCCGUUGCGAGGCGCCGGGCGCCAGCCGUUAGCCGUUUCGGUUUGCGCGUAAACGGCGAGUCUGGCUACUCAACGCAGGAUUUCCAGCGGGGGCGCACAAACCUCGGGAGGGAAGAUGGAAGCCGCAGCUACUCUAAAGGCAGCCCCAGGCUGGCUAAAGCGGUCCCUGGUUCGGAAACCGAGGCCUGAGUGCUCGGGCUCCACCUGGCCUGGUUCAGCGCGUGACCCACGCAGCUCUGGAUUCCAGGCAGGAAGCUCGAAGGUCAGGGAGAGCACCUCUGCCGGUGAAUUAUUCAUCCCCUAUUGAGUUAUCGUGACGCCCUGUGGCUUUGGGAAACCUCUCCACAACCAAGUGGAGCCACAGCUCUCCGCCAACGAAGACAGAGUCUCACUCUGUUACCCAGGCUGGAGUGCAGUGGUGC